UACGUAGGGGGCAAGCGUUGUCCGGAAUCAUUGGGCGUAAAGAGCGCGUAGGCGGCCCUGUAAGUCCGCUGUGAAAGUCAAGGGCUCAACCCUUGGAUGCCGGUGGAUACUGCAGGGCUAGAGUCCGGAAGAGGCGAGUGGAAUUCCUGGUGUAGCGGUGAAAUGCGCAGAUAUCAGGAGGAACACCAAUGGCGAAGGCAGCUCGCUGGGACGUGACUGACGCUGAGACGCGAAAGCGUGGGGAGCAAACAGG
rnacentral:rRNA from 1 species